rnacentral:tRNA from 1 species
UCCCUAGUGGCUCAGAUGGUAAAGAAUCUGCUUGCAAUGCAGGAGACCUGGGUUCAAUCCCUGGGUUGGGAA